AUUGAACGCUGGCGGCAGGCCUAACACAUGCAAGUCGAGCGGAUGAGGGGAGCUUGCUCCUGGAUUCAGCGGCGGACGGGUGAGUAAUGCCUAGGAAUCUGCCUGGUAGUGGGGGAUAACGUCCGGAAACGGGCGCUAAUACCGCAUACGUCCUGAGGGAGAAAGUGGGGGAUCUUCGGACCUCACGCUAUCAGAUGAGCCUAGGUCGGAUUAGCUAGUUGGUGGGGUAAAGGCCUACCAAGGCGACGAUCCGUAACUGGUCUGAGAGGAUGAUCAGUCACACUGGAACUGAGACACGGUCCAGACUCCUACGGGAGGCAGCAGUGGGGAAUAUUGGACAAUGGGCGAAAGCCUGAUCCAGCCAUGCCGCGUGUGUGAAGAAGGUCUUCGGAUUGUAAAGCACUUUAAGUUGGGAGGAAGGGCAGUAAGUUAAUACCUUGCUGUUUUGACGGUACCAACAGAAUAAGCACCGGCUAACUUCGUG
rnacentral:rRNA from 1 species